AAACAGAUGCUAAUACCGGAUAAAAAGCUACUUUCGCAUGAAAGAAGUUUAAAAGGCGGCGUAAGCUGUCGCUAAAAGGAUGGACCUGCGAUGCAUUAGCUAGUUGGUAAGGUAACGGCUUACCAAGGCGAUGAUGCAUAGCCGAGUUGAGAGACUGAUCGGCCACAUUGGGACUGAGACACGGCCCAAACUCCUACGGGAGGCAGCAGUAGGGAAUCUUCCACAAUGGACGCAAGUCUGAUGGAGCAACGCCGCGUGAGUGAAGAAGGUUUUCGGAUCGUAAAGCUCUGUUGUUGGUGAAGAAGGAUAGAGGUAGUAACUGGCCUUCAUUUGACGGUAAUCAACCAGAAAGUCACGGGCUAACUACGUGCCAGCAGCCGCGGUAAAU
rnacentral:rRNA from 1 species